rnacentral:rRNA from 1 species
GACGAACGCUGGCGGCGUGCUUAACACAUGCAAGUCGAACGGAAAGGCCCUGCUUUUGUGGGGUGCUCGAGUGGCGAACGGGUGAGUAACACGUGAGUAACCUGCCCUUGACUUUGGGAUAACUUCAGGAAACUGGGGCUAAUACCGGAUAGGAGCUCCUGCUGCAUGGUGGGGGUUGGAAAGUUUCGGCGGUUGGGGAUGGACUCGCGGCUUAUCAGCUUGUUGGUGGGGUAGUGGCUUACCACGGCUUUGACGGGUAGCCGGCCUGAGAGGGUGACCGGCCAUAUUGGGACUGAGGUACUGCACAGCCUCGUACGGGAGGCAGCAGUGGGGAAUAUUGCACAAGGGGCGGAAGCCUGAUGCAGCAACGCCGCGUGCGGGAUGACGGCCUUCGGGUUGUAAACCGCUUUCGCCUGUGACGAAGCGUGAGUGACGGUAAUGGGUAAAGAAGCACCGGCUAACUACGUG